rnacentral:rRNA from 1 species
CCAAGCUACUAAGGGUGAACGGUGGAUGCCUUGGCGCUGAGCGGCGAUGAAGGACGCGGCAAGCUGCGAUAAGCCACGGGGAGCGGCAAACACGCUUUGAUCCGUGGAUCUCCGAAUGGGGAAACCCAGCGGGAGUCAUGUCCCGCUACGGCGAUCUGAAUUCAUAGGGUCGUCGGGCGAACUCCGGGAAGUGAACCAUCUCAGUACCGGAAGGAAAAGAAAGCAAUUGCGAUUCCGUCAGUAGCGGCGAGCGAACGCGGAACAGCCCAAACUCGAGAGCCUCCGGGCUCUCGGGGGUUGUGGGGCGGAGUCCGGAUCAGAUCCGGAGAGUUACCAAACACGCACCUAGGAGAACGGCUCUGGAACGGCCGGCCAAAGAGGGUGAUAGCCCCGUAUUCGAAAGGUGUCGUGUCUCUCGACUCCGUUCCCGAGUACCACGAGGCACGAGAAACCUCGUGGGAAUCCGGGAGGACCAUCUCCCAAGGCUCAAUACGUCUCAGCGACCGAUAGUGAACCAGUACCGUGAGGGAAAGGUGAAAAGAACCCCUGUUAGGGGAGUGAAAUAGUACCUGAAACCGUUCAUCUACAAGCAGUGGAACCACCAUGUCGCAAGACGGUGGAACCGCGUGCCUUUUGCAUAAUGAGCCGGCUAGUUACUGUCAGUGGCGAGGCGAAGCGACGUGCUGAGCCGUAGCGAAAGCGAGUCUGAACAGGGCGUUCAGUCACUGGCCGUACACGCGAAGCGGGAUGAUCUAGCCUGGGCCAGGAUGAAACGCGGGUAACACCGCGUGGAGGUCCGAACCGGUGUUUGUUGAAAAAAGCUCGGAUGAGCUCAGGCUAGGGGUGAAAGGCUAAUCAAAUUCCGUUAUAGCUCGUUCUCCUCGAAAUGCCUUUAGGGGCAGCCUUGGACGAACACCCGCGGUGGUAAAGCGCUGGAUGGACUAGGGGCCUUACCAGGUUACUGAAUCCAACCAAACUCUGAAUGCCGCGGAGUGCUAUCCAGGAGUGAGACGGCGGGGGAUAAGCUUCGUCGUCAAAAGGGAAAGAACCCAGAGCGCCAGCUAAGGUCCCAAAAUUCGUGCUCAGUGGAAAACGAUGUGGAGACGCUCAGACAGCCAGGAGGUUGGCUUAGAAGCAGCCAUCCUUUAAAGAAAGCGUAAUAGCUCACUGGUCAAGUGGCUCUGCGCGGACAAUUCAACGGGGCUCAAGCACGAUACCGAAGCUGCGUCUGCGAUCAGGAUGCGUCCUGGUCGCGGGGUAGAGGAGCAUUCCGUGCGCGUCGAAGGCAGACCGAAAGGAUUGCUGGAGCGCACAGAAGAGACCCUGCCGGCACAAGUAGCGAUAAAGCAGCCGAGAACGCUGCUCGCCGAAAGUCUAAGGUUUCCUGAGCAAGGUCAAUCCGCUCAGGGUCAGUCGGAUCCUAAGGUGAGGCCGAGAGGCGUAGCCGAUGGACAACAGGUCAACAUUCCUGUACUUCCUUUCGGGUGAUCAAGACCGAUGGGGUGACGCAGGAGGCUAGGUGGACCCAUCCGUUGGUCGAGAUGGGCCAAGCUCGUAGGCGAGAGGGACAGGCAAAUCCGUUCCUCUGGUUCACAGCCGCCGCCGAGAAGUGAGUGCGAGGCCGCAAGGCCGUAAAGCCACCGAUGCCACGCUGCCGAGAAAAACCUCUAAGGAAUCCGGAGGGAAUCCGUACCGCAAUCCGACACAGGUAGACAAGGAGAAAAUCCUCAGGCGCUCGAGUGAAGCGAUGCGAAGGAACUCGGCAAAUUGACACCGUAACUUCGGAAUAAGGUGUGCCCCAUGGCGUGUAGGGAUUUACUCCUGAAGCGCCGCGGGGUUGCAAUGAAAAGGCCCAGGCGACUGUUUAUCAAAAACACAGGACUCUGCGAAGUCGAAAACGACGUAUAGGGUCUGACGCCUGCCCGGUGCUGGAAGGUUAAGGAGAGGGGUCAGCCGCAAGGCAAAGCUCUGAACCGAAGCCCCAGUAAACGGCGGCCGUAACUAUAACGGUCCUAAGGUAGCGAAAUUCCUUGUCGGGUAAGUUCCGACCUGCACGAAUGGCGUAACGA